rnacentral:rRNA from 1 species
UACGAAGGGGCUAGCGUUGUUCGGAAUCACUGGGCGUAAAGCGUAUGUAGGCGGAUCGUUAAGUCGGGGGUGAAAUCCCGAGGCUCAACCUCGGAACUGCCUUCGAUACUGGCGAUCUUCGAGUCCGGGAGAGGUGAGUGGAACUCCGAGUGUAGAGGUGAAAUUCGUAGAUAUUCGGAAGAACACCAGUGGCGAAGGCGGCUCACUGGCCCGGUACUGACGCUGAGUAUACGAAAGC